rnacentral:rRNA from 1 species
AUUGAACGCUGGCGGAAUGCUUUACACAUGCAAGUCGAACGGCAGCACGGACUUCGGUCUGGUGGCGAGUGGCGAACGGGUGAGUAAUAUAUCGGAACGUGCCUAGUCGUGGGGGAUAACGUAGUGAAAAUUACGCUAAUACCGCAUACGAUCUAAGGAUGAAAGCGGGGGAUCGCAAGACCUCGCGCGAUUGGAGCGGCCGAUAUCAGAUUAGGUAGUUGGUGAGGUAAAGGCUCACCAAGCCGACGAUCUGUAGCUGGUCUGAGAGGACGACCAGCCACACUGGAACUGAGACACGGUCCAGACUCCUACGGAGGCAGCAGUGGGGAAUUUUGGGACAAUGGACGCAAGUCUGAUCCAGCCAUUCCGCGUGCAGGAUGAAGGCCCUCGGGUUGUAAACUGCUUUUGUACGGAACGAAAAGGUCUCUAUUAAUACUAGGGGCUCAUGACGGUACCGUAAGAAUAAGCACCGGCUAACUACGUGCCAGCAGCCG